GGUUCCCGUACGAACGCCGAAGUUAAGCAACGUCGAGCCUGGUCAGUACCUAGAUGGGUGACAGCUUAGGAAUAUUGGUGCUGUAAG